AUUAGUGGCGAACGGGUGAGUAACACGUGGGCAAUCUGCCCUGCACUCUGGGACAAGCCCUGGAAACGGGGUCUAAUACCGGAUACUGAACCUCGCAGGCAUCUGUGAGGGUCGAAAGCUCCGGCGGUGCAGGAUGAGCCCGCGGCCUAUCAGCUUGUUGGUGAGGUAAUGGCUCACCAAGGCGACGACGGGUAGCCGGCCUGAGAGGGCGACCGGCCACACUGGGACUGAGACACGGCCCAGACUCCUACGGGAGGCAGCAGUGGGGAAUAUUGCACAAUGGGCGAAAGCCUGAUGCAGCGACGCCGCGUGAGGGAUGACGGCCUUCGGGUUGUAAACCUCUUUCAGCAGGGAAGAAGCGAAAGUGACGGUACCUGCAGAAGAAGCGCCGGCUAACUACGUGCCAGCAGCCGCGGUAAUACGUAGGGCGCAAGCGUUGUCCGGAAUUAUUGGGCGUAAAGAGCUCGUAGGCGGCUUGUCACGUCGGUUGUGAAAGCCCGGGGCUUAACCCCGGGUCUGCAGUCGAUACGGGCAGGCUAGAGUUCGGUAGGGGAGAUCGGAAUUCCUGGUGUACGGUGAAAUGCGCAGAUAUCACGAGGAACACCGGUGGGCGAAGGCGGAUCCUCUGGCCGAUCUGACCUUGAGGAACAAA
rnacentral:rRNA from 1 species